rnacentral:rRNA from 1 species
GCCCCUAAGGCGAGGCUGAAAAGCGUAGUCGAUGGGAAACAGGUUAAUAUUCCUGUACUUGGUGUUACUGCGAAGGGGGGACGGAGAAGGCUAGGCUAGCCGGGCGACGGUUGUCCCGGUUUAAGCGUGUAGGGGGUGUGACCUGGUAAAUCCGGUUGCAUAUUAACCCUGAGGCGUGAUGACGAUGCACUACGGUGCAGAAGUAGUUGAUGCCCUGCUUCCAGGA